rnacentral:lncRNA from 1 species
GGUGUACAGCAGAUCCUUGGUUCAGUGGGGUGAGGUGGGUGGAGGAUGCACCUGGUCUCAGGGGAACCAGAAACUAGAUGUUAUUUGAGAAUGUAAGAUACAAGCUAUGGAGACAAUUGUCCCCAGUGGGUAGGAAGACAGAAGCAUCGCUGAAGUAAUGUACUGUUGAUACUGUAAGUUAACCUUGAGCUAGGGCUGUUUUUCACAGGUCGGGGAGCCUUCAUCUUAAAACACAGCUCUGCUUGGUCAGAAAUAACACUUCUCUCACAGAUGCUGCUGAAGGGUGUAGCUGCUACAGUUAAACUGCAUUUUAAUUAUUUAUUUUUUAUUUUAUUUUGUGUUUUAGAGAUGGGGUCUCACUGCGUUUCCCAGGCUGGUCUCAAACCAUUGGCCUCAAGCAAUUCUCCUACCCCAGCCUCUCAAGAUGUAUUUUAGAUGUAUCACUAAUUGACAUAAUGUUUGCAAAGAAGCAUUUUCUAUUUUGCUUCCUUUUUGUUUUUUUAGAGACAGGGUCUUGUUCUGUCACCCAGCCUGGCAUGCAGUGGUUCAAUCAUAGCUCACUGCAGCCUCAAACCUCUAGGCUCAAGCGAUCCUCCCACUUCCCAAAGCCGUGGGAUUACAGGCAUGAGCCACAGUGCUUGGUUUAUUUUUGCCUUCUUAAAGCAUGGGUCCUAGAGCAUGGUCCCUCCCCUAAAAGUCUGUAGAGCAUUUGGGGAUCACAACUGUGUCCAUCCCUGGGAGACGGGCAGUGCACACAAGUAUAUUGAACAGUCUGAGAAGCAUCUUAAUGCUGUUUAAUCCAGCACUCCCCCAAAUUAGUAGGCCAUACAGUUCUUUUCCUUGUAGCAGGCAGUGCUGGCAGUAAGCACACCACUUCUGCCCACCCCAUAUUUGAGGACAGCUGCCCUGAAAGGCAGAACAAAGAAAGGGCAGCAGUGCUCCCAACUCUGUUAUUCUGCACCCUUGCAGCUGGGCCUUUUAUCAAAGUGCUGUUCUCAGGCAGGGCGCCGACAAAUCCACUGACUACUUGGCACUGUGUGUGGUUUUUGAAAGUCUGUUUGAUUUUUUUAAUAUAUUUUGCAUCUGUUUUCACCUUUAAAAGGCAGCUGCAAAUGACCCAUUUUUGUGAUAAAACUAACUCAGAGUACAGGUGCAACCCCACUGAUGUAAACAGCUUUUGAGGCUUUGAGGUUUUAGAUGACAGUCAUCUAAAACACCAGCUUCUCAAAUACAUCAGCUUCAGGCCUGGGCUGAGCCUGAGGAGCCUCCUAGGAAGUUAGAGAUUUUUGAGCUCAAAGGGCUCAGGAGAGGCCCAAUAGUUUUCAUGCUUCAUUAACCCGAAGGCUUCCCGACAAUCGUCCAAGGGUUCCUCAAAUGCUCGACUACAAAAUAAAAUGUUAUUUGACCACUUCUAGGCAUUUUGUCCUGAAAAAUUUAAAGCAUACAGAAAAGCUGAAAAAAAAUUACCGUGAACACUCAUAAACCCACUACCUAGAUUCUACAACUAUUUAUACUAUAAAAACUAGUGUACUUUAAAAGAAAAAACUAGUGUACCUUUUCUGACACUUUAUAUGCUGUAUUUUAAAGCUUUGAUAGUCACUUUGAUCCCAGAAUAAGGUAAAAAUUAGUUUAUCCUCAAAUACUGUGACCUGCCUCUCCCUUUUCAUUGAUCCUAAGCACAGUUCUAGUCAAAUCCUUCGAACACUGAGAUCUGACCUGCCCAUUUUGCAGGAAAACAUUAUCUUCCCUCCUGUCCCGUGGUACCCUGGGGCUUCACUCCUCCCUUAGGCCAAAGACCUAUCUCCACAUUGGUGUCAUUGACAGCCACUCCUGUGGGGUCCCAUGCAUGCUUACCUGCAGCUGCAGCUGACGCGGCCCCGCCCAGGCACUUCCAGAGGGGUUCCAUCCUGGGCCACCUGCUGGGCCCAUCCUCUAGCCCAUCCCAUAGUUGCAAUCCAGUCGCUCAUCCAGACAAACCUUCAGGUCCCUCCGAGGUGUGUCUGCCACCAGUAACCAUGACUGUUGAUCCAUCUCAUGAGUUUCCAGACCGUUGCACCUCCGCUGGGAAGGGCCAGGCCUCAGCCUUUCCUUGGAAGCUCCUUGGUGCCUCUGCAAUUUGCCUACCUCCUCUUGGGGCAGCCAGCACUGCCACCAUGGGCCACUUAGAGGGGAAGAGGGAGCUGUGGGCUCCAAAGGCCCCAUCAUGUUCUCCUCUCCUCCUCAGGGCCUCUCUUUUCUUUCUUUCUUUCUUUUUUUUUCUUUUUUUUUUUUUUUUUCUGAGACGAAGUCUUGCUCUGUCGCCAGGCUGGAGUGCAGUGGUGCAAUCUCAGCUCACUUCCACCUCCUCCUCCCGGGUUCAAGGGAUUCUCCUGCCUCAGCCUCCUGACUAGCUGGGACUACAGGCACAUGCCACCACACUCAGCUAAUUUUUGUAUUUUUAGUAGAGAUGAGUUUCACUACGUUAGCCAGGAUGGUCUUGAUCUCUUGACCUCGUGAUCCGCCCGCCUCGGCCUCCCAAAGUUCUGGGAUUACAGGCGUGAGCCACUGCCCCCAGCCAGGGCCUUUUCUCCUGUUAAAAAAUGUUUUAGUUACUCUUCAGCACUUCAGUACGUAUUCUGAAAAAGAAAAUACCAGUUUAGCUUGUUUUAUAUACUGGAAUCCUGCCAUCAGUUUUACCUGAUAGAAGGGGUGUAUUACAGGAACAGGUUUGAUGGAUACUAAUCUCAUUCACGACCCUCGUCAUGUGAACGGAAAGUAAGCCAGAAGAGGCUGAGCAGCUCACCUGACAUCACAGCCACCUAUGGGAAAGGAGACCCCACCUGGCCAGCUUCCUCCAGUAAAAUGGAAGCAGACGUCAUUUACAAGGCAAAUGUCAUGACUUGAGAUGCAAAUUGAAUGCUCACUUUUAUCUGUCCUUCCCAAAUGUCAUUGAACUUCAAAAAAUCUGUAACAGCCCAAAAAAGUGCAAGAACAGAAAUGUUGAGUAAUUUUUGAAAUAGGAGAAGGGAGGUGGGUUGACUGAUGGGGAAGGAGAUCUGAGGAGAUAGAAGUUGAACUGUACACAGAAGGUGGCUGGCGAGGGAGGAGCUGUUUCUCAGAGAGGCUCCGCAUUGAGGCCGGCAGGUACAGAGAGCAGAGGGGCUGUGGUAGGGACCGGGGAGAUUGACCAAUGGCUGUUGCGAGAAUAGCUGUGCCAGGGACCAGAGGUCUCCUGCCUGACUCCCUCCUGCCCCUCACCCCAUGUGCACAGAGCAGCUGGCUGCAGGAAUUAAAGGCCCAGAGCUUGUUUUCUCACAAAGGGGGUGCUUUACGUCAGGGGUUCUCAACCCUCAGGCUGCAGACCAGUACUGCUCUGUGGCCUGUUAGGAGCUGGGUCAUACAGCAGGUGGUGAGUGGCAAGCAAGCGUUACCACCUGAGCUCUGUCUCCUGUCUGAUCAGCAGUGGCAUUAGAUUCCCAUAGGAAUGUGAGCCCUAUUGUGAACUGUGCAGGAGAGAGGUCUAGGUUGUAUGCUCCUUAUGAGAAUCUAAUGCCUAAUGAUCUGAGGUGGAAGUUUCAUUCUGAAAUCAUCCCCACCACCCCCUGGUCCGUGGAAAAAUUGUCUUCUACAAAACCAGUCCCUGGUGCCAAAAAGGCUGGGACCACUGCUUAACAUGGUAAGGCUCCUGGCAUGGGUGAGGUGGGCUGUUGGCAUCACUACCCAAUUUUAAGUGUUUUGAACAUUUUCUAAUUUAUCAAUUAAAAUGUUCAUAGUUGGGCCAGGCACAGUGGCUCACACUUGUAAUCUCAGCACUUUGGGAGGCUGAGGCAGGAGGAUCACUUGAACCCAAGAGUUUGAGACCAGCCUGGGCAACAUAGUGACAUCCCAUCUCUUUUUUAAAAAAUUAAAUUAAAAAAAUAAGAUGUUCAUAGUCUGGGGCUCCUAUGGCUUUCCCACAGCCCCUGGAUCUCAAUCCAAGGUCAUUCACCACAAUCCCAAUCCCACCUUGGAAAAUUUCUCUGGCACUAGAGGAAAGAAACUCAGCUUCUGGUUUCCCCCCUCAGUCCCCGAGCCUCUGCCCACAUUGUGGCUCUGCAUCCUUUUCUAGAGGAUCUGCGUGCUAUUUAAAAUGCUUUGUCAUAAAGCAGAACUCUUCCCUCCUUUCUGUCACUCUGUAGGAGGGGAGAGGAGUCCCUCCCUCCAUUUUGACUCUGAAGUUUUCUGACUUGCACUAUGCCAGCCUUUCUACCCAAUUGCCCAAGCAUUUCUCAGCUAAAGUGAUCCUUAGUAGCUUGAAUUCUUGUCACAAUGUGUUCAGGCUGCUAUAACAAAAUACCAUAGGCUGGGUGGUUUAUAAACAAAGGAAAUUUAUUUCUUAGAGUUCUGGAGGCUGUUCGGAAGUCUAAGGUCAGGAAUGCAGUAGGUUCGGUGUCUGGUGAGUGUCUGCUUCGUGGUUCAUAGAUGGCUGUCUUCUUGCUGCACAGUCACUUGGCAGAAAGGGUGAGGGGUUCUCUCUCUGGGGCCACUAAUCCCUUUCAUGAGGGCUCCCUCCCCCUCAUGACUUCAUUUCCCAAAGGGCCCACCUUCAAACACCAUCGGAGUGGGGAUUCAGUUUCAACAUAUGACAUUUGGGGGGACACAGACAUUCAGUCCAUAGCGGUUCUCAGUGCCUAACAUUCUUUGGAUGCCAAGAAUGAGAGCACAGAGUAGAUGUGAGAGAGUCCCUGUGGACCUAACUGUGCAUUGCUGGUGUCAUGGAAAGACUGUGGGCUCUGAAGAUGGACAGUCUUGCUCAAGUCCUGAGUCUACUAAUUACUGGCUUUGUGUCUUCCAGCAAAUGAUUUAAUCUCCAGUCUCAGUUUCCUCAACUAUAAAAUGGAGAUUAUACUACCUAUUGUUUAUACGAAGCUUGCACAUAGUGGAUAAUCAGCAAAUAUUAAAAAUCCUCUGCUCUCUCUCAUUCUACAAUUCCUUGAGAAGUUGAAGCACAGUGGGAGAAGAAAUAAGCUCCCACCCAAGCUUUUGCUCAUCUGUGAGGAGUCGGUCUGUGGUAUCGUCAGAGGAGUGUGAAAGGAGGAAUUUUCUUGAGACAUUCUCCAUGUAGUCUCCAUCUUUCAGACUACGAUCAUGUAAAGGAAGCCAAGGGUUUUCACAUACACCAUCACCACUCCACACAUCACCUACCGUUCUUGUCUUGAAAGGUUGAUGUGUGUUGCCCAGUGGAUGUUGAGCCAAUCAGAGAUAGAAGGAGAAACCUUAGGCAACCACCUCUUUUUUCCCUCACUACUUAUAUGGGAUGAGAUCUGCGAGCAUCCCAGAACAAACCUCGAAGUGUAAACAGUAUUUUGUACAUCCAGAGAGAAGGGUUUCAAGAUAGCUGACUAGCGACACCUGGCACUUCUGCACAAAGAAGGACCAAAACUGAACAAUCACAUAACAAGUGGAGCUUCUAAGAGAACAAUGGAAUUCAUCAGAGAAGUGACAGGGAACAUCUGAGGCUUGGAAGGAGAGGGAAGCAAAGCAGCUGGUCCAGCUGCAAUCAGCUCGGAGCCAGGAGAAACCCCCCAGUGCAGAGAGAAGGUAAGCAAGAGAUCUUCAGCAGUCUACAUUGCCACACUGACUCUUACAGUCCUAGCCACAGGAGAGCCCCUCAGCCCUUGUGGGCCCUGAGACUAGUCUAAGGAGCAUCCUCAAGUCCUCCAAUGCCAUUAGUCCAGAGAAGAACUUCACUCUGGGUCCCCCACACACCCCAAGAUCAAGACACCUGCAGCAUGGCAUUAUUUUGAGAGGCCAGCCUCCACCAGACUACAUCCUUCCCCGGGACUCAACAGCCUCUGUAUCUCCACAUCCCUCUGACAUCCCCUGACUGACAUCUAUCCAGAAGGCUGCAGCAUCACAACACUGGCUGGACCCAGCAGUAUAGCCAGAUUCCCAGGACUCUGACUCAUACAGUAUUCUAUGCUGCAGGGAAUCAGUGGUACUGUGCACUGGGGAGGCAGUCACCAGAACAAAGGGAACUGGAAUUCAUGCUCCCCAAAGCCUGAGAGCUGCCUGGGUUGGGCCACGCCAUUGACAGCAACCCCAUCCCCCAACUUCCAGCAGCAGGGCCACUGUGCACCUGCAGAUACCUUCAAGGGACCUGGAAACUGGUUUGCCAGGCACCAUCCUGGAAACUGAAAACAGGUCUGCUGCACCUAUCACCACCACCGGCACCCAAGCAUGCCAUAAAGGGGACCUGAGGAUCAACCUGCCCUGCCCACCACAGCUGGCAAGUGCAUGCACCAUCAGGUAGGCCACCUGCCCACCACCUCUGCCCACACUAAUGCAUGUUGUUAAGGUGACCAUGGGAUCAGCCUAUCCCACCUUCCACUUCUAGUGCCUGCACACACCAUCGUGGGUUCUGAUGACAGGCCUGCCCCCUACUCUGCCACUGCUGCUGGUACCCAGACAUACCAUCUGAGGGCCUGGGGAUCAACCUGUUCAACCCACCACAGCCUGUGCCUGUGUGUACCCUUGAGAGAGCUGAGGAUAGGUCUAUACUGCCCAGUGUCAUCCCUGCCAGUUGCCAUGUACAUUGGGGCCUGGUGAUCAAUCCACUCCACCUGCUGCCAUUAGCAUCUGCACAUGCCUCUGCUGGUCUGAGAAGAGACCUGCCCAGUCUGCCGGAGUUUGCACAUGUUGUCCAGGCAUCUGGGGAUUGACCAGCCCUGCCUGCUGUAGCCUGCAUCUAUGUGCACUAUUGUGGGGCCUGAGGGCAGGCCCGCCCUGGCUGACACAUCCCCUAUCAGUGACCACAUGCAAUAUCCAGGGUCCUGGGGAUCAAUCCACCCCACCCACUGAGCAGGUCAUGCACACUGCUGGGGAGCGGGGGUGGGAGAGGAAGAUCAGCAGGCUUGACCCACAACUACCACCACUGGGGCCCAAAGACUGCCCCACCUGGCAUCCCCAUCCCCAGCAAAGCCUCGCCACAGCCUCCCCAAACAACCACAGCCAAUCCACUGAGGAACUCACAGAUACCACUGACACUGAUUAUAGCUGAAGAAAUAUGGAAACUAAACUACUGCCCCCACCCAAAAUAAAAGCCAAAGCAUCCUACCCAACCAAUACAAUAGAUACAUCUAUCAGGAAAAGUCUUUUCCUAUGAAAGCCAAUCCAUAAAAUUGAAAGAAGAGACAGUUACACCAGAUGCACAAAUAUGAGUGUAAGGAUAUAAGAAACAUGAAAAAGCAAGGAAACAGAAUGCCUCUGAAGGAACACAGUAAUUCUCUAGGAACAGGUUUGAAUGAAAAAGCAAUACAUGAAAUGCCCAAAAAAGAAUUUUAAAUAAUGUUAUUAAACAAGUUCAGUGCGAUACAAGAGAACAUAGAACAAAAACUGCAGAAUACAUUUUCUUGUCAGCACAUGAAACAUUCUCCAGGAUAGGCCAUAUGUUUGGCCACAAAAUAAAUCUCAACAAAUUUUAAAAUUAAGAUAAUAUCAAGUACCUUUUCAGACUACAAUGGAAUAAAACUAGAAAUAAAUAAUAAUACAGAGAAAUCAGAAAAACAACUUAUGAUCUGAGUAAGAAAUUCAACAGAGAUAGAUAUCAUAAAGAAAGAACCAAACAGAAAUACUGGGACUGAAGGGUUCAAUGAAUGAAGUUAAAAAUAUAUUGGGAGGCCGAGGCGGGCGGAUCACGAGGUCAGGAGAUCGAGACCAUCCCGGCUAAAACGGUGAAACCCCGUCUCUACUAAAAAUACAAAAAAAUUAGCUGGGCGUAGUGGCGGGCGCCUGUAGUCCCAGCUACUUGGGAGGCUGAGGCAGGAGAAUGGCGUGAACCCGGGAGGCGGAGCUUGCAGUGAGCCGAGAUCCCGCCACUGCACUCCAGCCUGGGCAACAGAGCGAGACUCCGUCUCAAAAAAAAAAAAAAAAAAUAUAAUCAAGAGUUUCAACAAUAGACUAGACCAAGCAGAAGAAAGAAUUUCUGAAUUUGAAGACAGGUCUUUUGAAAUAACCCAGUCCAACCCCCCAAAAAAAGAAGAAGAAAAGAAGAACAAAGAACAAAAGAGAGAGCCUAUGAGACAACACAAAUGAAAUUUGAAUAUUGGGUGUUAUAGAAGAAAAAGAGAUGGGCAAAGGCAUAGAGAACCUAUUUAAUGAAAUAAUAGCUGAAAACUUCCUACAUCUUGGAAGAGAUCUAGACAUCCAGAUACAGGAAGCUUAAAGAUACCCAAAUAGAUUGAACCCGAAAAAGUCUUCCCCAAGGUAUAUUAUCACUUGAGGAACAUUUCAGCUUAUAACUGUUGAAAGCCAGACAAAAAAAGAAUUCUAAAAUCAAUAAGAGAAAAGUGUCAAAUCACAUAUAAGGGAACUCCCAUCAGACUAAUAGAUUCCUCAGCAGAAACCUUACAGGCCAGGAGAGAAUGUGAUAAUACAUUAAAAGUGCUAAAGGAAAAAGAAAACUGUCACGCAAGAACACUAUACUCGGCAAAGUUGUCCUUCAAAAAUUAAAGAGUAAUAAAGUCUUUCCCAGCCAAGCAAAAACUGAGGGCAUUCAUCACCACUAUACCAGCCCUACGAGAAAUGCUUAACAUGUUCUACAUCUGAAAGCAAAAGGCUGAUAUUUGCAUCAUGAAAACAUGAAACUCACUGGUGGAGCAGAUACAAAUGAGAAAAAGAAAGGAAUCAAAUGUUACCACUACAGAAAACCACCAAACCACAAUGAUAACCAAUAAGAGAGGAAGAAAUGAACAAAGGAUGCACAAAACAAGUAGAAAACAAUUAACAAAAUGGCAAGAAUAAGUCCUCACCUAUCAGUAAUAACCUUGAAUGGGAACUGAUUACAUUUCCCACUUGAAAGAUAUAGACUAGCUGGGCCGGGCGCAGUGGCUCACGUCUGUAAUCCCAGCACUUUGGGAGGCUGAGGUGGGUGGAUCACGAGGUCAGGAGUUCAAGACCAGCCUGGCCAACAUGGUGAAACCGUGUCUCUACUAAAAAUACAAAAAUGAGCUGGGCAUGGUGGCACAUGCCUGUAAUCCCAGCUACUCGGGAGGCUAAGGCAGGAGAAUUGCUUGAACCAGGACCCAGGAGGCAGAGGUGGCAGUGAGCUGAGAUUGUGCCACUGCACUCCAGCCUGGGCUACGGAGUGAGACUCCGUCUCAAGAAAAAAAACAAUGGACUAGCUGAAUCCAUUUUUUUUUAAAUUUCUGUAGGUUAUUGGUGAACAGGUGAUGUUUGGUUACAUUAUUAAGUUCUUUAUUGGUGAUUUGUGAGAUUUUGAUGCACCCAUCACCCAAGCAGAAUACACUGCACCCUAUUUGUAGUCUUUUAUCCCUCACCCCCUUCCCACCCUUUCCCCGUGAGUCCCCAAAGUCCAUUGUGUCAUUCUUAUGCCUUUCAUCCUCAUAGCUUAGCUCCCACUUACGAGUGAGAACAUAUGGUGUUUGGUUUUCCAUUCCUGAGUUACUUCACUUAGAAUAGUAAGUCUCCAAUCUCAUCCAGAUCACUGCAAAUGCCAUUAGUUCAUUCCUUUUUAUGGCUGAGUAGUAUUCCAUCAUAUAUAUAAUAUAUAUAAAACACACAUAUAUAAUAUAUGUAUAUAUAAAACACAGUUUCUUUAUCCACUCGUUGAUUGAUGGGCAUUUGGGUUGGUGCCACUGAAUGCAUUUUUAAAAAUAACCCAACUAUAUGGUGCCAUCAAGAAACUCACUUCACUUGUAAAGACACAUACAGACUGAAAGUGAAGGAUGGAAAAAGAUAUUCCACACAUUUCACACAAAUGGAAACCAAAAGUGAGCAGGAAUAGCUAUAGUUAUAUCUGAUAAAACAGACUUUAAGUCAAAAACUAUAAAAAGAUAAAAAGGUCAUUAUAUAUGACAAAUGGAUCAAUUCAGCAAGGGGAUAUAUUAGAUUGGUACAAAAGUAAUUGUAGUUUUUGACAUUAAAAGCAAGAACUGCAAUUACUUUUGCACCAACCUAUAACAAUGCUUGAUAUACAUGUACCCCACACUCGAGCACCCAGCUGUAUAAGGCAAAUAUUACAUCUAUAGGGAGAGAUAGACUUCAAUACAAUAAUAGUUGGGGACUUCAACAAUCUGCUCUCAGCAUUUUUAACAGAUCACCUAGACGGAAGAAUCAACAUAGAAACAUUGGAUUUUAACUGGAUUUUAGUAAGAACAGAAAAUAAAUAAGCUGGACUUUAGAUCAAAUUUGACUUAACAUUUACAAAACAUUUUAUUUUAUCCAAAAGCUGCAGAAUACACAUUCUUCUCAUCAGCACAUGGAACAUUCUCCAGGAUAGGCCAUAUGUUAGGCCACAAAAUAAAUCUCAACACAUUUUAAAAUUAAGAUCAAAUCAAGCAUCUUUUUAAACUACAAUGGAAUAAAAGUAGAAAUAACAGGAGCUUUGGAAACUGUACAAAUACAUGGAAAUUAAACAAUAUGCUCCUGAAUGACCACUGGGUCGAUGAAGAAAUUGAGAGGAAAUUUUUAAAAAUAUGUUUUUAAAUAUUUAAUAUGAAAAUAGAAAUGCAACAUACCCACACCUAUGGGAUACAGAAAAGCAGUGCUAAAAGGGAAGUAUAUAGCACUAAAUGCCUAUAUCACAAAAGCAGAAAUAUUUUAAAUAAACAGCCUAGUGAUACACCUCAAGGAACUAGAAAACCAAUGACAAACCAAACCCAAAAUUAGUAGAAGGAAAAGUAUAGUAAAUAUCAGAACAAAAACAAAAUAGAGACUAAAAAACAAUACAAAGGAUCAAGAGACAAAAAGUGCGUGUUUUAAAAAAAAGAUACACAAAAUUGAUAAACCUCCUAGCUAGACUAACCAUGAAAAAAGGAAGAAGAGUCAAAUAAAAUCAGAAAUGAGAAAGAAGAUAUUAUAACUGAUACCACAGAAACACAAAGGAUCAUCAGAGAUUACUAUGAACAACUAUAGCCAACAAAAUGGAAAACCUAGAGGAAAUGGGUAAAUUCCUGGACACAUACAACCUUCCAAGAUUGAACCUGGAAGAAAUAGAAAACCUGAACAGACCAAUAACUGGUAAUGAGAUUGAAUCAGUAAUAAGUCUCCCAACAAAGAGAAGCCCAGUAGUGGAUGACUUUAUUGCUGAACCCUACCAAACCUAUAGAGAAAAACUAACACCAAUUCUUCACAAACUGUUUAAAAACAAUUGAAGAGGAGGGAAUUUUUCCUAACUCAUUCUACAAGGCCAGCACAACCCUGACACCAAAACCAGAGAAGGACACAACGAAAAAGAAAGCUACAGGCCAAUAUCCCUGAUGAACACAGGCAUAAAAAUCAUCAACAAAAUGCUAGCAAGCUGAAUUCAACAGUACACCAAAAAGAUAAUAUACUAUGGUCAAGUGUGAUUUACCCAAAGAUGCAAGGAUGGUUUAACACAUGCAAAUCAAUAAAUGUGAUGACAUCAGUGGAAUGAAGGAAAAAACUUUAUGAUUAUCUCAAUAGAUGCAGAAAAUUGUUUGAUAAAUUCAGUAUCCCUUCAUGAUAAAAAAAAACUCUCAACAAAUUAGACAUACAAGGAACAUACCUCAACAUAAUAAAGGCCAUAUAUGACAGAUUCACAGCUGACAUCAUACUAAAUGGGGAAAAGCUGAAAGACCUUCUUCUAAAAACUGGAACCAGAGCAGGAUGCCCACAUUCACCACUCUUAUUCAACAUAGCACUAGAAGUUCUAGCCAGAGCAAUCAGGCAAGAGAAAUAAAUAAAAAGCAUCUAAAUUGGAAAAGAGUAAGUCAAAUUGUCUCUUUCUGUAGAUAGCAUGAUCUUAUAUAUAGACAACCUAAAGACUUUACCAAGAAAAACCCUUACAACUGAUAAAUUCAGUAAAAUAUCAGAAUAUAAUAUUAGUAGUAUUUUGAUGCAUCAAUGAUGAAAAAGCUGAAAAAGAAAUCAGGAAGACAAUCCCAUUUACAAUAAUUAAAAGAUAAAAUACCUCGGAUCUAACCAAAAAGGUGAAAGGUCUCUACAAGGGAAACUACAAAACACUAAUGAAAGAAAUAAACAAAUGGAAAGACAUUCCAUGUGCAUGAAUCAGAAGAAUUAAUAUCAUUAAAAUGUUUACCCAAAGUAAACUUGAUUCAAAGCAAUCUCUAUCAAAAUACUAUUGUCAUUUGUCACAGAAAUUGAAAACAAAAAUACCAAAGUUCAUAUGAAAUCAAAAAAGAAUCAGAAUAGCCAAAGCAACCCUGAGCAAAAAAGAAAAAGCUGGAAGCAUCACACUACUUAACUUCAAAACAUUACAGGGCUAUGGUAACCCAAAGAGCAUAGUAUUGAUAUAAACAGACACACAGACCAAUGGAACAGAAUAGAAAACCCAGAAAUAAAUACAUAUAUUUACCACCAACUGAUUUUCACCAAAGGUGCCAAGAAUGUGUAUCAGGGAAGGGAUACCCUCUUCGAUAAAGGGUACUGAGAAAACUGAAUAUUCAUCUGCAAAAUAAUGAAACUAGACCCCUAAUGUCUCACCAUACACAAAAAUUAAAAUGAUUAAAGACAUAAAUAUAAGACCUGAAAUUAUGAAACUACUGGAAGAAACCACAGGGGAAAUGUUUCAGGACAUAGGUCAAGGCAAAAAUUUUGUGGCUAAGAUCUCAAAAACAAAAAUAGACAAAUGGGACUAUAUUAAGCUAAAAAGAUUCUGCAAAACAAAGGAAACAGUCAACAGAGUGAAGAGACAAUCUGUAGAACAGGAAAAUAUGUGCAAACUAUUUAUCCAACAAGGGACUAAUAUUGAGAAUAUACAAGGAAUUCAACAGCAAAAAAAAAAUCCCUUUUAAAAAGUAGGCAAAGGACAUGAAGAGACAUUUCUCAAAAGAAGACAUACAAAUGGCCAAGUAUAUGAAAAAAUGUUUAACAUCACUAGCCAUCAGGGAAAUGCAUAUCAAAACCACAAUGAGAUAUCACCUUACCCCACUUAGAAUGACUAUUAUUAAAAAGACCAAAAAAAAAAUGCUGGCAACAAUAUGGAGAAAAGGGAACUCUUACACACUGUUGGUGGAUAUAUAAAUCACUACAGUCAUUAUGGAAAACAGUAUAGAGGUUUCUCAAAAAAACUGACCACUAAAUCAGACUACUAAAUCCCCACUACUGGGUAUUUACCCAAAAGACAGGAAAUCGGUGUAUCACAGGGACACUUGACCUCCAUGUUUACUGAAGCACUAUUCACAAUAGCCAACAUACGGAAUCAUCUAAGUGUCUAUCAAUGAAUGAAUGAAGAAAGAAAAUGAGACAUACUUACACAAUGGAAUACUGUUUCGCUAUUAAAAAAAUGAAAUUCCGUCAUUUGCAGCAACAUUAAAAAAUGAAAUUCCAUCAUUUGCAGCAACAUGGAUUGGAACUCGAGGUCAUUAUGUUAAGUGAAAUAAGCCAGGAAAACAAAUAUCACAUGUUGUCAGCAAUAUAUGGGAGCUAAAAAAGGUGAUCUCAUGCGAGUAGAAGGAAGAUUGAUAAUUACCAGAGGCUGGGAAGUUGCAGGGGUUGGGGCGACACGGUGUCACGAAGAGAGGUUGGUUGAUGGGUACAAAGUUACAGCUCGAAAGAAGGAAUAAUUUAUAUUGUUCAACAGCACAGUAGGGUGACUAUAGUUAAUAAUAUAUUUUAUAAUAGCUAGAAGAGAAUAUUAUUAUACUUUAAGUUCUGGGGUACAUGUGCAGAACGUGCAGGUUUGUCACAUAGGUAUACAGGUGCCAUGGUGGUUUGCUGCACCCAUCAACCCAUCAUCUACAUUAGGUGUUUCUCCUAAUGCCAUCCCUCCCCUAGACCCCCAUCCCCCGACAGGCCCUGGUGUGUGAUGUUCCCCUCCCUGUGUCCAUGUGUUUUCAUUGUUCAACUCCCACUUAUGAGUGAGAACAUGCGGUGUUCGGUUUUCUGUUCUUGUGUUAGUUUGCUGAGAAUGAUGGUUUCCAGCUUCAUCCAAGUGCCUGCAAAGGACAUGAACUCAUCCUUUUUUUAUGGCUGCAUAGUAUUACAUGGUGUAUAUGUGCCACAUUUUCUUUAUCCAGUCUACCAUUGAUGGGCAUUUGGGUUGAUUCCAAGUCUUUGCCAUUGUGAACAGUGCUGCAAUAAACAUAGGUGUGCAUGAGUCUUUAUAGUAGAAUGAUUUAUAAUCCUUUGGAUAUAUACCCAGUAAUGGGAUUGCUGGGUCAAAUGGUAUUUCUAGUUCUAGAUCCUUGCGGAAUCACCACACUGUCUUCCACAAUGGCUGAACUAAUUUACACUUCCACCAACAGUGUAAAAGCAUUCCUAUUUCUCCACAUCCUCUCAAGCAUCUGUUGUUUCCUGACUUUUUAAUGAUCACCAUUCUAACUGGCACGAGUUGGUUUCUCAAUGUGGUUUUGAUUUGCAUUUCUCUAAUGACCAGUGAUGAUGAGCUUUUUUUCAUGUUUGUUGGCUGCAUAAAUGUCUUCUUUUGAGAAGUGUCUGUUCAUAUCCUUUGCCCACUUUUUGAUGGGGUUGUUUUUUUCUUAUAAAUUUGUUUAAGUUCUUUGUAGAUUCUGGAUAUUAGCCCUUUGUCAGAUGGAUAGAUUGUAAAAAUUUUCUCCCGUUCUGUAGGUUGCCUGUUCACUCUGAUGAUAGUUUCUUUUGCUGUGCAGAAGCUCUUUAGUUUAAUUAGAUCCCAUUUGUCUAUUUUGGCUUUUGUUGCCAUUGCUUUUGGAGUUUGAGUCAUGAAGUCUUUGCCCAUGCCUAUGUCCUGAAUGGUAUUGCCUAGGUUUUCUUCUAGGGUUUUUAUGGUUUUAGGUCUUACGUUUAAGUAUUUAAUCCAUCUUGAGUUAAUUUUUGUAUAAGGUGUAAGGAAAGGACCCAGUUUCAGCUUUCUGCAUAUGGCUAGCCAGUUUUCUCAACACCAUUUAUUAAAUAGGGAAUCCUUUCCCCAUUGCUUAUUUUUGUCAGAUUUGUGAAAGAUCAGAUGGUUGUAGAUGUGUGGUGUUAUUUCUGAGGUCUCUGUUCUGUUCCAUUUGUCUAUAUAUCUGUUUUGGUACCAGUACCAUGCUGUUUUUGUUACUGUAGCCUUGUAGUAUAGUUUGAAGUCAGGUAGCAUGAUGCCUCUACCUUUGUUCUUUUUGCUUAGAAUUGUCUUGGCUAUGUGGGCUCUUUUUUGGUUCCAUAUGAAAUUGAAAGUAGUUUUUUUCCAAUUCUGUGAAGAAAGUCAAUGGUAGCUUGAUAGGGACUGCAUUGAAUCUAUAAAUUACUUUGGGCAGUAUGGAUUUUCACAAUAUUUAUUCUUCCUAUCCAUGAGCAUGGAAUGUUUUUCCAUUUGUGUCCUCUCUUAUUUCCUUGAGCAGUGGUUUGUAGUUCUCCUUGAAGAGAUCCUUCACUUCCCUUGUAAGUUGUAUUCCUAGGUAUUUUAUUUUCUUUGUAGCAAUUGUGAAUGGGAGUUCACUCAUGAUAUGGCUCUCUGUUUGUCUGUAUUGGUGUGUAGGAAUGCUUGUGAUUUUUGCGUGUUGAUUUUGUAUCCUGAGACUUUGCUGAAGUUGCUUAUCAGCUUAAGGAGAUUGUGGGCUGAGACAAUGGGGUUUUCUAAAUAUACAAUCAUGCUGUCUGCAAACAGAGACAAUUUGACUUCCUCUUUUCCUAAUUGAAUACGCUUUAUUUCUUUAUUUCUUUCUCUUGCCUGAUUGCCUUGGCCAGAACUUCCAAUACUGUGUUGAAUAGGAGUGAUGAGAGAGGGCAUCCUUGUCUUGUGCUGGUUUUCAAGGGAAAUGCUUCCAGCUUUUGCCCAUUCAGUAUGAUAUUGGCUGUGGGUUUGUCAUAAAUAGCUCUUAUUAUUUUGAGAUAUGUUCCAUCAAUACCUAGUUUAUUGAGAGUUUUUAUCAUGAAGGGCUAUUGAAUUUUGUCGAAGACCUUUUCUGCAUCUAUUGAGAUAAUCAUGUGGUUUUUGUCAUUGGUUCUCUUUAUGUAAUGUAUUAUGUUUAUUGAUUUGUGUAUGUUGAACCAGCGUUGCAUCCCAGGGAUGAAGCCAACUUGAUCAUGGUACAUAAGCUUUUUGAUGUGCUGCUGGAUUUGGUUUGCCAGUAUUUUAUUAAGAAUUUUUGCAUUGAUGUUCAUCAGGGAUAUUGGCCUGAAAUUUUCUUUUUUUGUUGUGUCUCUGCCAGGUUUUGGUAUCAGGAUGAUGCUGGCUUCAUAAAAUGAGUUAGGGAGGAUUCCCUCUUUUUCUAUUGUUUGGAAUAGUUUCAGAAGGAAUGUUCCCAGCUCCUCUUUGUACCUCUGGUAGAAUUCGGCUGUGAAUCUCUCUGGUCCUGGACUUUCAUUGGUUGGUAGGCUAUUAAUUGCUGCCUCAGUUUCAGAACUUGUUAUAGGUCUAUUCAGGGAUUUGACCUCUUUCUGGUUUAGUCUUGGGAGGGUGUAUGUGUCCAGAAAUUUAUCCAUUUAGAAGAGAAAAUUUUUAAUGUUCCUAGCACAAGAAAAAGAUAAAUGACUGAGGUGAGAGCUAUCCUAAAUACCCUGGUUUGAUCAUUACACCUUGCAUAAUUGUCUCAAAAUAUGACAUAUACCCCAUAAAUGCAUAUAAUUGUUAUAUGUCUAUUAACAAAAUUUUAAAAAUAAGGACUGGAUGUGGGUGAUGAAUAAAUGAGGAUUUGGUAUACUAUUUUCUCUACUUCUUAUGUUCAAAAUAUUUUAUAAUAAGUUAAAAUGAAUAAUAAAAUAACCAAAAAAGAUCUCAAAAACUACUAUAUUUUGUACAUUCAUAUUACAGGCACACUUUAUUGUACUUCGCUUUAUUGCUCUUUGUAGGUAUUGAGUUUUUUACAAAUUGAAAGUUUGUGACAACCCUGUAUCAAGGAAGUCUAUCAGUGCCAUUUUUUUCCAACAGCAUGUGCUCACUUUUUAUCUCUAUGUCUCAUUUGGUAAUUCACAUAAUAUUUCAAACUUUUUCAUUAAUAAAUAACUGUUAUGGUGAUCUGUGAUCAGUGAUAUUUGAUGUUAGUGUUGUACUAUAGGGUGCCAAUAACUCUGCCUAUACAAGAUGGUGUACUUAAUCAAUAAACGUGUAUUCUGACUGCCUUACCCUCCAUUCCCUCAUCUCUUUCCCACUCUCUUCCCUGACACACAACAAACAAUAAUGAAAUUAGGCUAGUUAGUAACCCUACAAUGGCCUAUAAGUGUUCAAGUGAAAGGAAGAGUUGUAUGUCACUCAUUUUAAAUCAAAAGCUAGAAAUGAUUAAGUCUAGUAAGGAAGGCAUGUCAAAAGCUGAAACAGGCUGAAAGCUAGGCCUCUUGCACCGGGUAGCCAACUUGUGAAUGCAAAGGAAAAGUUCUUGAAGGAAAUUAAAAGCGCUAUUCCAGUGACACACAAUGCUGAUAUAGUCUUCAAUUCUAUGGAGGCUGAAAGAGGUGAGGAAACUGCAGAAAAAAAGUUUGAAGCUAGCAGAGGUUGGUUUAUGUGGUUUAAGAAAAGAAGUCAUCUCCAUAGCUUGGAAGUACAGGGUGCAGCAGAAAGUGCUGAUGUAGAAGCUGCAGCAAGUAAUGCAGAAGAUCUAGCUAAGACCACUGAGGAGGGUGGCUACACUCGACAACAGAGUUUACAUGUAGACAAAACAGCCUUCUACUGGAAGAAGAUGCCAUCUAGGACUUUGUAGCUUGAGAGGAAAAGUCAGCGCUUGUCUUUAAAGCUUCAAAGGACAGACUAACCCUCUAGUUAGGGGCUAAUAUAGUUGGUGAGCUAAGUUGAAGCCAGUGCUCGUUUAUCAUUCUAAAAAUCCUAGGGCCCUUAAGAAUUAUGCAAAAUCUACUCUGCCUUUAUCCUAUAAAUGGAACAACAAAGCUUGGAUGACAACACAUCUUUUUACAGCAUGGUUAGCUUAGUGUUUUAAGCGCACUGCUUCU